GAUGAACGCUGGCGGCGUGCCUAACACAUGCAAGUCGAGCGAACGCACGAGAAGCUUUCUCCUCUGAUGUUAGCGGCGGACGGGUGAGUAACACGUGGAUAACCUACCUCUAAGACUUGGGUAACAUCGGGGAACCGGAUCUACUACCGGCUAAUAUUUUGAACCGCAUGGUUCAAAAGUUCUAGACGGUCUUGCUGUCUCUUAUAGCUGAAUCCGCGUUGCAUUAGCUAGUUGGUAAGGUAACGGCUUACCAAGGCUACGAUGCGUAGCCGACCUGAGAGGGUGAUCGGCCACACUGGAACUGAGACACGGUCCAGACUCCUACGGGAGGCAGCAGUAGGGAAUAUUGCGCAAUGGGCGAAAGCCUGAUGGAGCAACACCGCGUGAGUGAUGAAGGUCUUCGGAUUGUAAAGCUCUGUUGUUAGGAAAGAACAGAAGUGUAUGUAACUGUGCAUAUCUUGACGGUACCCAAAGAAAAAGCCACGGCUAACUACGUG
rnacentral:rRNA from 1 species